AGAGUUUGAUCCUGGCUCAGAAUCAACGCUGGCGGCGUGCCUAACACAUGCAAGUCGAACGCGGUUACCCCGCAAGGGGUGACUGAGUGGCGAACGGGUGAGUAACGCGUGGGUGACCUACCUUCGAGUGGGGGAUAACGUCCCGAAAGGGACGCUAAUACCGCAUAACAUCCUGCCUUUGAAUAGGCGGUGAUCAAAGCCGGGGAUCGCAAGACCUGGCGCUUGUUGAGGGGCCCGCGUCUGAUUAGCUAGUUGGUGGGGUAAAAGCCCACCAAGGCGACGAUCUGUAGCUGGUCUGAGAGGACGACCAGCCACACUGGAACUGAGACACGGUCCAGACUCCUACGGGAGGCAGCAGUGGGGAAUUUUGGACAAUGGGCGCAAGCCUGAUCCAGCAAUGCCGCGUGCAGGAUGAAGGCCUUCGGGUUGUAAACUGCUUUUGUACGGAACGAAACGGUCUGCCCUAAUACGGUGGGCUAAUGACGGUACCGUAAGAAUAAGCACCGGCUAACUACGUGCCAGCAGCCGCGGUAAUACGUAGGGUGCGAGCGUUAAUCGGAAUUACUGGGCGUAAAGCGUGCGCAGGCGGUUAUGUAAGACAGAUGUGAAAUCCCCGGGCUCAACCUGGGACCUGCAUUUGUGACUGCAUAGCUAGAGUACGGUAGAGGGGGAUGGAAUUCCCCCGUGUAGCAGUGAAAUGCGUAGAUAUGCGGAGGAACACC
rnacentral:rRNA from 1 species